AGGACGAACGCUGGCGGCGUGCUUAACACAUGCAAGUCGAGCGGUAAGGCCCUUUCGGGGGUACACGAGCGGCGAACGGGUGAGUAACACGUGGGUGACCUGCCCUUAGCUCUGGGAUAAGCCUGGGAAACUGGGUCUAAUACCGGAUAUGACCUCGCGAUGCAUGUCGUGGGGUGGAAAGCCUUGUGCGGCUAGGGAUGGGCCCGCGGCCUAUCAGCUUGUUGGUGGGGUGAUGGCCUACCAAGGCGACGACGGGUAGCCGGCCUGAGAGGGCGACCGGCCGACACUGGGACUGAGACACGGCCCAGACUCCUACGGGAGGCAGCAGUGGGGAAUCUUGCGCAAUGGGCGAAAGCCUGACGCAGCGACGCCGCGUGAGGGAUGACGGCCUUCGGGUUGUAACCUCUUUCAGCCCUGACGAAGCGAAGUGACGGUAGGGGCAGAAGAAGCACCGGCCAACUACGUGCCAGCAGCCGCGGUA
rnacentral:rRNA from 1 species